AUUGAACGCUGGCGGCAGGCCUAACACAUGCAAGUCGGGCGAGUGGCGGACGGGUGAGUAAUGUCUGGGAAUCUGCCUGAUGGAGGGGGAUAACUACUGGAAACGGUAGCUAAUACCGCAUACCAUCAGAUGUACCCAGAUGGGAUUAGCUUGUAGGUGGGGUAAAGGAUCACCUAGGCGACGAUCCCUAGCUGGUCUGAGAGGAUGACCAGCCACACUGGAACUGAGACACGGCCCAGACUCCUACGGGAGGCAGCAGUGGGGACUAUUGCACAAUGGGCGCAAGCCUGAUGCAGCCAUGCCGCGUGUAUGAAGAAGGCCUUCGGGUUGUAAAGUACUUUCAGCGGGGAGGCGUUACCCGCAGAAGAAGCACCGGCUAACUCCGUGCCAGCAGCCGCGGUAAUGC
rnacentral:rRNA from 1 species